UAAACUGUCUAGGUCACACCCCGCAGGGUACUCCUGGGCCAUUAGCUCAGGUGGUUAGAGCGCACCCCUGAUAAGGGUGAGGUCCCUGGUUCAAGUCCAGGAUGGCCCAUUCGGUGUGGGGGUUUAGCUCAGUUGGUAGAGCGCUGCUUGCAAGCAGGAUGUCAGCGGUUCGAGUCCGCUAACCUCCACUGACGAAUCUUCUGACAACGAGCCAAUGGUGAGAACCGUUGUGUGAUGUGAUUUAGAAUUUAAGUUUGCUGGCAGACCCUAGCUUUUUAUCAUUCCAGAUCUCAAUCAAUUGAGGUUAGGUUGAUAGGACGCUGGGCUCACUGUAAUUCGAAAGAAUUGCAGAGAUGUUCAGCAGAACCUUGACAACUGCAUAGGUAAGUCUGGAAAGAAUAAAGCAUCUCAUGGAUGCAUGAUUCUUGGGAGUCAACUAAUGCAAUCUGCGCCAGUAGAGAGCUGAAGUUGAUCAACGAGAAUGAUGUUUGAUUCUUGAGUCAAGAGCCGAGACUCUAUAGCGUUCUUUCGAUGUCAUCGAGGCAUCGAGAGUUUGAUUGGUGAUUCAAAUCAUCUUCAAUGACAAACAAUUCAGUUUAACUGGAGAAGUGUGAGAUUGAAGCCAGGUGAAUUGCUAAGAAUACGUAUUCAACUACGUGAAGCGUUAUAGAGAUUAAUUGGUCAAGCUACAA
rnacentral:misc_RNA from 1 species